rnacentral:rRNA from 1 species
AUUGAACGCUGGCGGCAUGCCUUACACAUGCAAGUCGAACGGUAACAGGUCUUCGGAUGCUGACAAGUGGCGAACGGGUGAGUAAUACAUCGGAACGUGCCCGAUCGUGGGGGAUAAAGGAGCGAAAGCUUUGCUAAUACCGCAUACGAUCUACGGAUGAAAGCAGGGGACCGGAAGGCCUUGUGCUACUAGAGCGGCCGAUGGCAGAUCAGGUAGUUGGUGGGAUAAAAGCUUACCAAGCCGACGAUCUGUAGCUGGUCUGAGAGGACGACCAGCCACACCGGGACUGAGACACGGCCCAGACUCCUACGGGAGGCAGCAGUGGGGAAUUUUGGACAAUGGGCGAAAGCCUGAUCCAGCAAUGCCGCGUGCAGGAUGAAGGCCUUCGGGUUGUAACCUGCUUUUGUACGGAACGAAAAGCUUCGGGCUAAUACCCUGGAGUCAUGACGGUACCGUAAGAAUAAGCACCGGCUAACUACGUGCCAGCCGCCGCCGUAAUAC